AGUGAACGCUGGCGGUAGGCCUAACACAUGCAAGUCGAACGGCAGCACAGUAAGAGCUUGCUCUUACGGGUGGCGAGUGGCGGACGGGUGAGGAAUACAUCGGAAUCUACUUUUUCGUGGGGGAUAACGUAGGGAAACUUACGCUAAUACCGCAUACGACCUACGGGUGAAAGCAGGGGAUCUUCGGACCUUGCGCGAUUGAAUGAGCCGAUGUCGGAUUAGCUAGUUGGCGGGGUAAAGGCCCACCAAGGCGACGAUCCGUAGCUGGUCUGAGAGGAUGAACAGCCACACUGGAAAUGAGAAACGGUCCAAAAUCCUACGGGAGGCAGGAGGGGGGAAUAUUGGACAAUGGGCGCAAGCCUGAUCCCGCCAUACCGCGGGGGUGAAGAAGGCCUUCGGGUUGUAAAGCCCUUUUGUUGGGAAAGAAAAGCAGCAGGUUAAUACCCCGCUGUUCUGACGGUACCCAAAGAAUAAGCACCGGCUAACUUCGUG
rnacentral:rRNA from 1 species